CCUACGGGAGGCAGCAGUGAGUAAUAUUGGUCAAUGGACGAGAGUCUGAUCCAGCCAAGUAGCGUGAAGGAUGACUGCCCUAUGGGUUUUAACCUUCUUUUAUAAAGGAAUAAAUCAAUGCACGUGUGCCUUUUUGCAUGUACCUUUUAAAUCAGGAUCGCCUAACUCCCUGCCAGCACCCGCGGUAAUACGGAGGUUCCGAGCGUUAGCCGGAUUUAUUGGGUUUAAAGGGAGCGUAGAUGGGGUGUUAAGUCAGUUGUGAAAGUUUGCGGCUCAACCGUAAAAUUGCAAUUGAUACUGGCAGUCUUGAGUACAGGUGAGGUAGGCGGAAUUCGUAGUGUAGCGGUGAAAUGCUUAGAUAUCACGAAGAACCCCGAUUGCGAAGGCAGCUUACUAAACUGUGACUGACACUGAGGCUCGAAAGUGUGGGUAUCAAACAGGAUUAGAUACCCCUGUAGUC
rnacentral:rRNA from 1 species